ACUGUGAACUGAUCAGAUAGCCUGAGUCAAUGUGGUGGGCAGAUAAAAGCUACAUUUUUCAAGUAAAUAAGAGGUCGGGUCUCAGUGUUCUAAUGGACGAUUCAUGUAUCCUAGUUAGAGCUCAUAUUUGCCUAUUUCCUGUUGCACGAUGAAUUGAACUGCUAGCUUAGUACUCAAGAGUUGUGUGUGUGGGGAAUGAUUCUUCCUUGAUUCCUUGGGAUGCUCGUACCGGCACAGUCCAACUGUCAAGUGUUAACAGAUGUUCGAAAUGAUUAUGGCGCAGCGUAUCAACGGUGAUUCAGCUCAAUCUAGAAAUAUAGGUUAAAUUUCUAGAGACCUGACUUCUUGAAUCGAAGAGUUCAAUCAAAUUCGAUGCAAGGCUCUUGAAUUGAUGACAGAAUCAAAU